GUGAGGAAUAUUGGUCAAUGGGCGCAAGCCUGAUCCAGCCAUGCCGCGUGCAGGAAGACGCAUCUAUGGUGUGUAAACUGCUUUUGUACGGGAAGAAACACUCCCUCGUGAGGGAGCUUGACGGUACCGUAAGAAUAAGGAUCGGCUAACUCCGUGCCAGCAGCCGCGGUAAUACGGAGGAUCCAAGCGUUAUCCGGAAUCAUUGGGUUUAAAGGGUCCGUAGGCGGUUUAAUAAGUCAGUGGUGAAAGCCCAUCGCUCAACGAUGGAACGGCCAUUGAUACUGUUAGACUUGAAUUACAAGGAAGUAACUAGAAUAUGUAGUGUAGCGGUGAAAUGCUUAGAUAUUACAUGGAAUACCAAUUGCGAAGGCAGGUUACUACUUGUGGAUUGACGCUGAUGGACGAAAGCGUGGGGAGCGAACAGGAUUAGAUACCCGUGUAGUCC
rnacentral:rRNA from 1 species